CCAGAGAACUUAGCAGAGAUGCUUGGUGCCUUCGGGAACUCUGAGACAGGUGCUGCAUGGCUGUCGUCAGCUCGUGUUGUGAAAUGUUGGGUUAAGUCCCGCAACGAGCGCAACCCUUAUCCUUUGUUGCCAGCGGUCCGGCCGGGAACUCAAAGGAGACUGCCAGUGAUAAACUGGAGGAAGGUGGGGAUGACGUCAAGUCAUCAUGGCCCUUACGAGUAGGGCUACACACGUGCUACAAUGGCGCAUACAAAGAGAAGCGACCUCGCGAGAGCAAGCGGACCUCAUAAAGUGCGUCGUAGUCCGGAUUGGAGUCUGCAACUCGACUCCAUGAAGUCGGAAUCGCUAGUAAUCGUAGAUCAGAAUGCUACGGUGAAUACGUUCCCGGGCCUUGUACACACCGCCCGUCACACCAUGGGAGUGGGUUGCAAAAGAAGUAGGUAGCUUAACCUUCGGGAGGGCGCUUACCACUUUGUGAUUCAUGACUGGGGUGAAGUCGUAACAAGGUAGGCGUACGUGU
rnacentral:rRNA from 1 species